rnacentral:rRNA from 1 species
UUCAACUUUUGACCUCGGAUCAGGUAGGGAUACCCGCUGAACUUAAGCAUAU